AAUACAUAAGUAUUGCGAGAUUGCCCACAUAUGAAAGAAGUCAGCCACAAGAUGAAAAGUUCAUAACUGAUGGCUCCAUAUGCGAGAUGGCUUGCCAGAUAGUGGGAUCGCUCACCAAUUCACUCUGUCACACCAACAAGGUAUUGAUUUAGUUGUAGGCAAACUAUAUUCUCAUAAGGGUGAUCGAACGAGAAAGCCAUUUGUUGGAAACUAGGCACCGUCAUCGUAUUUUGUUGCAGUUGUUAGAUAGUUGGGCCUAUUUCUGAUUUGGGCUUCUUUGGUAGAAUGAUAGGUUUUGUUUCCAUAGGUUAGCAGAAAUCCAUCUUUUCCCUUUCUCCCUCUCCUGCUUCUACCGUGUAGACUCUGCAAUCUUCCUCUACUGCUUUUCCGUUUUCGACGGCGUUCUGCAGCUACCCUUCCCUGAGCUAUGUGCUUUCCUCUACUCUGCUCGUCCCUAUGAACAUCACUUUACAGUUUUCUGUCCUGCUUCUGAACCAUAUUUUUCUCUAAUUUGAUCCACUUAUUCGAAUUUUGGGUCUGAGUCAUGGGUGGUGGUGUGACUCCAGUCAAGAGCCUUUGCCCUGAGAAGAAUUUUUUGAAAAUUAGGACUAGGGUUAUCCGGAUGUGGGAAGCAUGUCCUGUGAUCGAUCCCUUGAGCCCCUAUGCUCUGCAUAUAGUUCUAAUUGAUGCCGAGGUAUGAUCGGAGCUGAAUUUGAAAUUCAAAUUGCAAAGAGGUGGAAGAGCCAUAGAAACGAGCUCUGGACCCCUUCCCUGUCACGCUAAAUGGAGAAUUCCUUCAUACAACUUGAUCCCCUUGGAGGCUUUUGAAUUUUAUCCCCUUUGAAGGCUUCUCAUGUUGAGGAGUGGUGAAUAAGUCUAAAACAUAGAAUAUUUAUUUACUUUUGCGCUCUCUUUUCUUAUACUCAACAUCUGUGCAUAAUUUGUUAAAAUUUGUGAUUGUGGUCAUUGUUUUUUUCUCCAGAGUUGUUAAACAUAGCAAGUUCACCAUUUAUUAAGUAUAUUUUAAAAUUUUCUAUGUUUCUUGGUUUAAUGUGUGCAGUGUAGGUACUGCAGUUUUUGUCUUGGCUUAUCUGCCUUUCGGUAAGCAUGACUUUUUCCACAUGAUACUAAUCAUGGAGUUCAGUGAUUCAAUAGUCGAGAAUGUGAGGUUUUUCUUUUCUGUCUGGGUACUAUCUGCUCUGUAACUCCUUUGCUCCUUUGUAGUUUAUCUACUUCAACAACACUAAUUGUUUAAUUUGUUUUGUUCAAGUCUUUGACUGUGCUCAUUUAAAUCAUUGUCAAUCAAGUACUACCUUUAUAAGAAAUGCACUAAUAAAUUGGAAUCAACUUGCAAUUUUGGAAGGCUAAAUUGGUCGGAUUCAAGUACUUUCAUUCAAGUGACUAUUUGUUAGAUAUUGAUUAGUUAGAAGGCUUAAUCUUUGCUUUUGAUUUAGGCCAGUUGGAAGGAUCAAGUGGCUAACUCUUUCCUCAUUGUGAUAUGUUCUAUGACUUUGGAUAUUGAUUGAUUGCUUUCUUAUUUCUUGUGCCCACUUUUUUCACAUGAAGUUAUAUUUAGAGUUGUAUCUUUUCUCAAUAAGCCAUUGCUGCUCUCUUUCAAAAAUAGGUCUUUAUUGAGUUCUAUUAUAAUUGUGUUUCUCAUUAUAAUUAUUGGUUCUAUUUAAUAGUUGCUGACUUAUUUUUGCUUUAAUGUCAUCUUUGUGAUGCUACUUUUCCUUAUAUUUCCCUUAUUUUGAUUUGAUCUAUAUUGAUUUAUAAACUCUUGUCAGGUAAUUUAAUAUGGUCAUAAAAUCUUAGUAUCUUAUCUAAUUAACACCUAUACCUAUUUCUUAUUAUUGAGUAACGAAGUAAAAGCAUAACAAAGAAUGCUCUUCUCCAAAAGGUGCUUACUUUUUGUAACUUGUGAAUUUUAACCUCUAGCAGCCUUUAAUCAAGCACUAGAAAAUGUUGUUUAUUGGUUUUUCUAUUUCUUUUGUUUGCAAGGGCAUUGCAGGGUGAAGAACCACCAAGGUCUCCAUUCAAGGUGUUUAUUCAUUUUUAAAAGAUAAUCAUGCUUCACCGUUCAGUUUGUAGUUUACUAGAAGAACAAAGUAAAGUAGAGAAAGUUGAUUAGUGAUGAUCAAAUUUGAAUUCUUGAUUUUACUUUCAGCACACAAUCUCCCCUGUAAGGAACUUGAAAAGUUUGGAUCCAUGUAUUAAUUUGGGGUUAUUAUAAAUGGAAAAUUAUGGUAUUAAUCUUUGUGUUAUGUUUCA